UACGUAGGGUGCAAGCGUUAAUCGGAAUUACUGGGCGUAAAGCGUGCGCAGGCGGUUAUGUAAGACAGGUGUGAAAUCCCCGGGCUUAACCUGGGAACUGCAUCUUAUACUGCGUAGCUGGAGUGCGGUAGAGGGUAGUGGAAUUUCCGGUGUAGCGGUGAAAUGCGUAGAUAUCGGAAGGAACACCAGUGGCGAAGGCGGCUACCUGGACUGACACUGACACUGAGGCGCGAGAGCGUGGGUAGCAAACAGG
rnacentral:rRNA from 1 species